rnacentral:rRNA from 1 species
CCUACGGGAGGCAGCAGUGGGGAAUUUUGGACAAUGGGCGAAAGCCUGAUCCAGCAAUGCCGCGUGAGUGAAGAGGGCCUUCGGGUUGUAAAGCUCUUUUGUCAGGGAAGAAACGGUGAGAGCUAAUAUCUUUUGCUAAUGACGGUACCUGAAGAAUAAGCACCGGCUAACUACGUGCCAGCAGCCGCGGUAAUACGUAGGGUGCAAGCGUUAAUCGGAAUUACUGGGCGUAAAGCGUGCGCAGGCGGUUUUGUAAGUCUGAUGUGAAAUCCCCGGGCUCAACCUGGGAAUUGCAUUGGAGACUGCAAGGCUAGAAUCUGGCAGAGGGGGGUAGAAUUCCACGUGUAGCAGUGAAAUGCGUAGAUAUGUGGAGGAACACCGAUGGCGAAGGCAGCCCCCUGGGUCAAGAUUGACGCUCAUGCACGAAAGCGUGGGGAGCAAACAGGAUUAGAUACCCUGGUAGUCCACGCCCUAAACGAUGUCUACUAGUUGUCGGGUCUUAAUUGACUUGGUAACGCAGCUAACGCGUGAAGUAGACCGCCUGGGGAGUACGGUCGCAAGNUUAAAACGUCAAAGUAUAGUAGGACGAGAGAGAGCGACGACGACGACGACGGAGGGAGGAG